rnacentral:misc_RNA from 1 species
UGGGCUUGACAUGGACUAGAAAGCUCUAGAGAUAGAGCCUCCCUUGUGGCUGGUUCACAGGUGGUGCAUGGCUGUCGUCAGCUCGUGUCGUGAGAUGUUGGGUUAAGUCCCGCAACGAGCGCAACCCUCGUUCCAUGUUGCCAGCACGUAAUGGUGGGGACUCAUGGGAGACUGCCGGGGUCAACUCGGAGGAAGGUGGGGAUGACGUAGCUAAGCCUUC